UCUCUAGGGCGACCGUCCUUCGGGAUGA
rnacentral:sRNA from 1 species